CCUACGGGUGGCAGCAGUGAGGAAUAUUGGUCAAUGGACGAGAGUCUGAACCAGCCAAGUCGCGUGAAGGAUGACUGCCCUAUGGGUUGUAAACUUCUUUUAUAUGGGAAUAAAAUGUUCCACGUGUGGGAUUUUGUAUGUACCUUAUGAAUAAGCAUCGGCUAACUCCGUGCCAGCAGCCGCGGUAAUACGGAGGAUCCGAGCGUUAUCCGGAUUUAUUGGGUUUAAAGGGAGCGGAGAUGGAUUGUUAAGUCAGUUGUGAAAGUUUGCGGCGCAACCGUAAAAGUGCAGUUGAAACUGGCAGUCGUGAGUACAGGAGAGGGAGGCGGAAUUCGUGGUGUAGCGGUGAAAUGCUUAGAUAUCACGAAGAACUCCGAUUGCGAAGGCAGUUCACUGGACUGCAACUGACACUGAGGCUCGAAAGUGUGGGUAUCAAACAGGAUUAGAUACCCCUGUAGUC
rnacentral:rRNA from 1 species